rnacentral:rRNA from 1 species
UCUUCCUACGGGGGGCAGCAGUCGGGAAUAUUGCGCAAUGGAGGAAACUCUGACGCAGUGACGCCGCGUAUAGGAAGAAGGUUGUCGGAUUGUAAACUAUUGUCGUUAGGGAAGAUAAAAGACUGUACCUAAGGAGGAAGCCCCGGCUAACUAUGUGCCAGCAGCCGCGGUAAUACAUAGGGGGCAAGCGUUAUCCGGAUUUACUGGGUGUAAAGGGAGCGUAGACGGCAGUGCAAGUCUGGAGUGAAAGGCGGGGGCUCAACCCCCGGACUGCUCUGGAAACUGUACGGCUGGAGUGCAGGAGG